GUGAAUCAUCAAAUCUUUGAACGCAUAUUGCACUCUCUGGUAUUCCGGAGAGUAUGCCUACUUGAGGGUCAUUUGUAAUAAUAUACAUUUCGAGACUUUCUUGGAUUCAAAAAUGUGACGGUCCAGCUUUCGUGUGGUGGUCGCCUCAAAUGCAAGAUAAGCUUAUUUCUUGGGUUGCGUGAUACUUUCAGUCUCAUCGUGACUUCACAAGGAAUCUUCUAGUGUGUUAAGAAUUAUGCAAGCGAUUAACUUUAUUUAUCUC
rnacentral:misc_RNA from 1 species